rnacentral:rRNA from 1 species
AAAUGCACAUUUAAGGACAUAUCCGAUCCUGUCUGAUCUUGGAAGCUAAGCAGGGUCUGGCCUGGUUAGUAUUUGGAUGGGAGACCACCGAGGAUGACCAGGUGCUGCAGGCA